GACGAACGCCGGCGGCGUGCUUAACACAUGCAAGUCGAACGGUAAGGCCCUUUCGGGGGUACACGAGUGGCGAACGGGUGAGUAACACGUGGGUGAUCUGCCCUGCACUUUGGGAUAAGCCUGGGAAACUGGGUCUAAUACCGGAUAGGACUACGCGAUGCAUGUCGUGUGGUGGAAAGCUUUUGCGGUGUGGGAUGGGCCCGCGGCCUAUCAGCUUGUUGGUGGGGUGAUGGCCUACCAAGGCGACGACGGGUAGCCGGCCUGAGAGGGUGUCCGGCCACACUGGGACUGAGAUACGGCCCAGACUCCUACGGGAGGCAGCAGUGGGGAAUAUUGCACAAUGGGCGCAAGCCUGAUGCAGCGACGCCGCGUGGGGGAUGACGGCCUUCGGGUUGUAAACCCCUUUCAGCACAGACGAAGCGUAAGUGACGGUAUGUGCAGAAGAAGCACCGGCCAACUACGUG
rnacentral:rRNA from 1 species